CGUAGGCGGUUUGGUAAGUCAGUGGUGAAAGCCCAUCGCUCAACGGUGGAACGGCCAUUGAUACUGCUGAACUUGAAUUAUUGGGAAGUAACUAGAAUAUGUAGUGUAGCGGUGAAAUGCUUAGAGAUUACAUGGAAUACCAAUUGCGAAGGCAGGUUACUACCAAUGGAUUGACGCUGAUGGACGAAAGCGUGGGUAGCGAACAGGAUUAGAUACCCUGGUAGUCCACGCCGUAAACGAUGGAUACUAGCUGUUGGGCGCAAGUUCAGUGGCUAAGCGAAAGUGAUAAGUAUCCCACCUGGGGAGUACGAACGCAAGUUUGAAACUCAAAUAAAUUGACGGGAGG
rnacentral:rRNA from 1 species